rnacentral:rRNA from 1 species
AUUGAACGCUGGCGGCAGGCCUAACACAUGCAAGUCGAGCGGUUGAGGGGAGCUUGCUCCCUGAUUCAGCGGCGGACGGGUGAGUAAUGCCUAGGAAUCUGCCUAUUAGUGGGGGACAACGUUUCGAAAGGAACGCUAAUACCGCAUACGUCCUACGGGAGAAAGCAGGGGACCUUCGGGCCUUGCGCUAAUAGAUGAGCCUAGGUCGGAUUAGCUAGUUGGUGAGGUAAUGGCUCACCAAGGCGACGAUCCGUAACUGGUCUGAGAGGAUGGUCAGUCACACUGGAACUGAGACACGGUCCAGACUCCUACGGGAGGCAGCAGUGGGGAAUAUUGGACAAUGGGCGAAAGCCUGAUCCAGCCAUGCCGCGUGUGUGAAGAAGGUCUUCGGAUUGUAAAGCACUUUAAGUUGGGAGGAAGGGUUGUAGAUUAAUACUCUGCAAUUUUGACGUUACCGACAGAAUAAGCACCGGCUAACUCUGUGCCAGCCGCCGCGGUAACAC